rnacentral:rRNA from 1 species
UACGGGGGGGGCAAGCGUUGUUCGGAAUUACUGGGCGUAAAGGGCUCGUAGGUGGCCAACUAAGUCAGACGUGAAAUCCCUCGGCUUAACCGGGGAACUGCGUCUGAUACUGGAUGGCUUGAGUUCGGGAGAGGGAUGCGGAAUUCCAGGUGUAGCGGUGAAAUGCGUAGAUAUCUGCAGGAACACCCGUGGCGAAAGCGGCGCGCUGGACCACUACUGACGCUGAGGAACGAAAGCUAGGGGAGCAAACAGG